GAGUUUGCUUUGGCAACACAUACACUAAAAUUGGAAUGAUACAGAGAAGAUUAGUAUGAGCCCCUACACAAAGAUGACUUGCAAAUUUGUGAAGCAUUCUAUGUUUAU
ensembl:snRNA U6 U6 spliceosomal RNA